GCGAACUGAUUAGAAGCUUGCUUCUAUGACGUUAGCGGCGGACGGGUGAGUAACACGUGGGCAACCUGCCUGUAAGACUGGGAUAACUUCGGGAAACCGAAGCUAAUACCGGAUAGGAUCUUCUCCUUCAUGGGAGAUGAUUGAAAGAUGGUUUCGGCUAUCACUUACAGAUGGGCCCGCGGUGCAUUAGCUAGUUGGUGAGGUAACGGCUCACCAAGGCAACGAUGCAUAGCCGACCUGAGAGGGUGAUCGGCCACACUGGGACUGAGACACGGCCCAGACUCCUACGGGAGGCAGCAGUAGGGAAUCUUCCGCAAUGGACGAAAGUCUGACGGAGCAACGCCGCGUGAGUGAUGAAGGCUUUCGGGUCGUAAAACUCUGUUGUUAGGGAAGAACAAGUACRAGAGUAACUGCUYGUACCUUGACGGUACCUAACCAGAAAGCCACGGCUAACUACGUGCCAGCAGCCGCGGUAAUACGUAGGUGGCAAGCGUUAUCCGGAAUUAUUGGGCGUAAAGCGCGCGCAGGCGGUUUCUUAAGUCUGAUGUGAAAGCCCACGGCUCAACCGUGGAGGGUCAUUGGAAACUGGGGAACUUGAGUGCAGAAGAGAAAAGCGGAAUUCCACGUGUAGCGGUGAAAUGCGUAGAGAUGUGGAGGAACACCAGUGGCGAA
rnacentral:rRNA from 2 species